UCCUCUCUCGCACUCUUUCUCUUACUCUCACACAGUCUCGUCUCUCUCUCUAGUCUGAACUCGUGAAACCCUCUCACUGAUUUCUUCCUUGCCCUCUCACAUGCACACGAGCACUACCGGAAACCCCCUCUCUCCGUUCGAAUCACACCACCGGAAGCCCUCUCUCUCCGUUCGAAUCGCACCACCGGAAGCCCUCUCUCUCUGUUCGAAUUGCACCACUGGAAGCCCUCUUCUCUGUUCAUUUUGCUUCACUGAUGUGACACCACCGGAAGCCCUAAUCUCCGUCCAUUUCAUACUAGGUCAUGAAUAGAGAGGAUUAAAUACCAAAUGGGAUUGGCACAUACUGUUGGUGUUUGGCUCCACGAUCAUGGAUUUCAAGGUCUCAAGUGAACAUGAUGAGAUCCAAAGUCAUUUGGAAAUUGUUCUUCGUAAAUAGUUGAGUCCAUGCAUUUAAUGCUUGGGAGAAUUGCACUGGUUUUCUUCAUCUCUCAUUGUGGAUCCACACAAGCACCAUGUAUACAUGUAGGGCCUACUGCACACGUUUCAUUAUUUUCUAGGUUGUUGUGUAGAAGAUUAAGUUAAUCAUUCCAUAUUUGAGGAUAAUUCGAUGCGAGCUCAACUCCUCUUUUAGCAUCCUUGGAAACCAAAAUCAUUACAAGAUUCGAGAUUUCAUAUGGACAUGUUUGGUAAUUUGGAGGGCAAAUGCUAGCUCAUUUUGUGUU